rnacentral:misc_RNA from 1 species
UGGAAACAAUCUAUCUGCAAAGACCUAAUGUCAUUUUUUUUUCUUCUCUUUAAAUGGAUAAAUGCAGAUGUUGUGGGAUCACAAAGCUUUUAUUUUGCAUAAUUUUUUCUUGUCCAACCAUUAAAAGAAUCAUUAGAUAUAAUAACUUGGUAGGCCUAUAUUGAAUUUCUAAUGGCCCAAGGACCAGAGGUUAAUAAAGAGUUGUUUAUGAACCAUUUUGUGAAGUCAAAAACGCAAUAAGAUUGGUGUCUAAAGAUCAUGACUCAGCUUUCUUAUGUCACUAUAGUAAACACAUUUAAUA